rnacentral:rRNA from 1 species
CAGUCGCCGCGGUAAUACGUAGGUGGCGAGCGUUGUCCGGAAUCAUUGGGCGUAAAGGGAGCGCAGGCGGGCAUGUAAGUCUUUCUUAAAAGUUCGGGGCUCAACCCCGUGAUGGGAAAGAAACUACAUGUCUUGAGUACAGGAGAGGAAAGCGGAAUUCCCAGUGUAGCGGUGAAAUGCGUAGAUAUUGGGAGGAACACCAGUGGCGAAGGCGGCUUUCUGGACUGCAACUGACGCUGAGGCUCGAAAGCCAGGGGAGCGAACGGGAUUAGAUACCCCUGUAGUCCCUGUCUCUUAUACA